rnacentral:rRNA from 1 species
AUUGAACGCUGGCGGCAUGCUUUACACAUGCAAGUUGAACGGUAACAGGCCUUCGGGUGCUGACGAGUGGCGAACGGGUGAGUAAUGCAUCGGAACGUGCCCAGAGGUGGGGGAUAACGCAGCGAAAGCUGUGCUAAUACCGCAUGUGAUCUGAGGAUGAAAGCGGGGGACCAGGCAGCAAUGUUUGGCCUCGCGCCUUUGGAGCGGCCGAUGUCAGAUUAGGUAGUUGGUGGGGUAAAGGCCUACCAAGCCGACGAUCUGUAGCUGGUCUGAGAGGACGACCAGCCACACUGGGACUGAGACACGGCCCAGACUCCUACGGGAGGCAGCAGUGGGGAAUUUUGGACAAUGGGCGCAAGCCUGAUCCAGCAAUGCCGCGUGCGGGAAGAAGGCCUUCGGGUUGUAAACCGCUUUUGUACGGAACGAAAAGGCUCUGGCUAAUACCUGGGGCUGAUGACGGUACCGUAAGAAUAAGCACCGGCUAACUACGUG